GGCACACAGCCACAAAGGGGCUGGAGGAGCGAAGGGCCGGCUGCGCUCAGUGCCGGUUGAUUGACAGGCACGAGAUGUGCCCGACUGAAAGCUUUGAGCGGGGUGUCGCACGCGCGAGCCCAGUGCGGGAGACGCUGUCUCUGUGUACAAACUGUGUGUCGCAAAGUGAACUGAAAACUGGGGGUUCAGCCACCACUACCCCAGCCGUGUUGUUUGGCUCCUUCAAUGGAGAUGGAGGC